UUGUGCUUUCUUUUGUAGAGAAACUGAAUUUUUAUAAAAGUCUACAGCUUUUAAAAUGUUUAGGAUAUAUGUAAUAGUGAUCUUUGGCGUAAUUAAGUGUUUUGAAAAGUUCCGUUGUGCGAAAGUGAAUGUCAUGCGCUUCUUCAUGCGCUACCAAAAACAUUGAACUCCAAAGGUGUUUCAACAUGUUUAGUGGAAAAUAGAUUUUUUUUUCCCAAUAAAUAUAGAGAUUGCAGUUCUGCGGACAUUGGUAAAACAUAACCGUAGCUGUGUAUUAAACCACAUCCUAUCUAGACCAGUUUGACGUUAUCCAGGCAUAAGAUUAGUACAAUUUGAGGAAAACUGUUGCAGUAUAGACUCUGUGGAUCAAACCAUGUCACCACUACGAAAAUCAUUGAAAUUGGCAAGCCUUUAUUGACAUGUGACGAAAAUGGAAACAUUAAAGAAGUAUCAAAAGAGCUUACCUAUAUUAGGUUGCCUUCCCACAGUAAUGCAUUUUAUAGCGUAAACGCGGAAAGAACCACUACAAAUCUUGUUAAUGAAUUCAAUCCAAUAACUUGGAAAACUAUUAGGAAUUUUGAAUCAUUUUUGAAUGCAAAUUUUGCAAAA